rnacentral:misc_RNA from 1 species
UUUCCGUUGGUGAACCAGCGGAGGGAUCAUUACAGGAUCGAAAGACUCCUAUAACCCCUGUGAACUUACUACAAAUACGUUGCUUCGGCGGGUGCCCCGGGUCUCCCGGGGCGUUCAGCCCGCCGGCAGCCUUCAAAUUCUGUUUCUUUGCGUUGGCAUCUCGAGUAUUCAAAAAUAAGUUAAAACUUUCAACAACGGAUCUCUUGGUUCUG